CUCGAUGCUUAGGCACAGGGAGGAGU
rnacentral:piRNA from 1 species